rnacentral:rRNA from 1 species
UUUUUAUGAGAGUUUGAUCCUGGCUCAGGACGAACGCUGGCGGCGUGCCUAAUACAUGCAAGUCGAACGCUUCUUUUUCCACCGGAGCUUGCUCCACCGGAAAAAGAGGAGUGGCGAACGG